CAGGAAUUGACAAAUAAUAAUGUUCGGUUCAGACUCCAUUAGCAAUCGUAAUUAAUUAUGUAUAUCUAUUUAAUUUAUACAAAAUAAAGUAUUAUCAUUUAUUCAAACUUCAAUUCCAUGAUAGGAAAUAGGGUGAGGGGUCUUUACUUGAUUCAACGCCGAAAACUAGAUUGUCAUUGCGCCUACAGCCGGUCCCUGGGUUCCCUAAAUUUUUCCAACGGGAACUGAAACGCGCAUACGGUACCUACACAUGUCCCAAAUAACCCAAAAAUCAGACCCAGGGCCUACUCGGCCAAUUUCAGAAUUCCGGCACGGCGGCUCCGCCGUGCUCCGGUGACGGCUCGCUGUGGCAAUCUGCCUCGAGUUCACUGUUUUCAGCCAUUUGCGGCCGAAUUCAGCCAAACUUGCAUCUGUUCCUGUGAGAAAACACACUUAGGGCCCUCGGUGGGCCUGAAAAACGUAGAAAACCGAAACUCACCGGCGGUGGGGCCCUCUGGUGCGGUGGCUCCUCCAGUUCACGUUGCGGUUGGAUUUUUUGCUCCGGUCAACCUCGUUUGGCGGUCGAAAAUUGCUCCGGUACGGCGGCGGGUGGCGGUGGUCGGCUCCUCGGCGGCUGGUUUGUCUUCUCCGGCGAGGGGCUCUGACGACUAGGGUUAGGGUUUGGGUGCAGAUGGGGUUAUUUAUACCCAUCUGCUUUUGAUCUGAGUCGUCCAUCGCCUUUAAUCUAGACCGUCCGAUCGCGAUUAAAUAGGGAGUGAAUCUGGGCAGUUCAUCGCGAUUCAAUCUGAGCUGUCCGUGCGCGAUUCAAUCUUGGCCGUCCGUGCGCGAUGCAAUCUGGGCCGUCCUUGCGCGCUUUUGAUCUGGGCCGUCCGUGCGCGCGGGAACGGAUCUUAGCUGUUCGAUCGCGCGCACGCGAAUCACCCACGUGGCUCCUUCCCGCGUGGCCUCCCGCGUCAGCGUCUCUACUACCUGGCGCGUCCUGAUUGGUCGGGGCAGCUGACGUGGCACAAUUUUUCUAAAUUGCGUUUUGACCUUCAGUUUUCGAUUUUUCUUUCAAAAAUACUCACAGAACCCAAAUUUUCACCUAUUUUCUCCAAAAUUGUUUUCAAUUAAACCC
rnacentral:lncRNA from 1 species